rnacentral:tmRNA from 1 species
UGGUGUUCUGGUCUUGUAUUCGGGCGUCCGGGCCCCCAUAAUGCCAAGCAUGAUCGUAAUUCCGGCAGACCGGAAGCGUUCUGGACGCGGGUUCGAUUCCCGCCACCUCCACCAUGCGGGGGUGCACUGGUUUCGACAGGGUGACAGAUGGCGCGCAGGCGAUCCGAAAGGCGACGGACGUAAUCCGAGCAAAUCCAUAAACGCCAACGAUGAGCGUUUCGCACUGGCCGCUUAAGGCCUGCUGAGGACGUAGCCGUCCAAUAAACAGAAUGGCUAUCGGCGGGGGCUUCGGCCCCCGCCGUCG